rnacentral:rRNA from 1 species
UACGAAGGGGGCUAGCGUUGUUCGGAUUUACUGGGCGUAAAGCGCACGUAGGCGGAUCGUUAAGUCGGGGGUGAAAUCCUGGAGCUCAACUCCAGAACUGCCUUCGAUACUGGCGAUCUUGAGUCCGGAAGAGGUGAGUGGAACUCCUAGUGUAGAGGUGGAAUUCGUAGAUAUUAGGAAGAAUACCGGUGGCGAAGGCGGCCCACUGGAUCGGUACUGACGCUGAGGUGCGAAAGCGUGGGGAGCAAACAGG